UACGUAGGGUGCAAGCGUUGUCCGGAAUUAUUGGGCGUAAAGCGCUCGUAGGCGGUUUGUCGCGUCGAAUGUGAAAACCCGGGGCUCAACCCCGGGCCUGCAUUCGAUACGGGCAGACUAGAGUUCGGUAGGGGAGUCUGGAAUUCCUGGUGUAGCGGUGAAAUGCGCAGAUAUCAGGAGGAACACCGGUGGCGAAGGCGGGGCUCUGGGCCGAUACUGACGCUGAGGAGCGAAAGCGUGGGGAGCAAACAGG
rnacentral:rRNA from 1 species